rnacentral:rRNA from 1 species
UGGCUCAGGACGAACGCUGGCGGCGUGCUUAACACAUGCAAGUCGAACGGAAAGGCCCUGCUUUUGUGGGGUGCUCGAGUGGCGAACGGGUGAGUAACACGUGAGUAACCUGCCCUUGACUUUGGGAUAACUUCAGGAAACUGGGGCUAAUACCGGAUAGGAGCUCCUGCUGCAUGGUGGGGGUUGGAAAGUUUCGGCGGUUGGGGAUGGACUCGCGGCUUAUCAGCUUGUUGGUGGGGUAGUGGCUUACCAAGGCUUUGACGGGUAGCCGGCCUGAGAGGGUGACCGGCCACAUUGGGACUGAGAUACGGCCCAGACUCCUACGGGAGGCAGCAGUGGGGAAUAUUGCACAAUGGGCGGAAGCCUGAUGCAGCAACGCCGCGUGCGGGAUGACGGCCUUCGGGUUGUAAACCGCUUUCGCCUGUGACGAAGCGUGAGUGACGGUAAUGGGUAAAGAAGCACCGGCUAACUACGUGCCAGCAGCCGCGGUGAUACGUAGGGUGCGAGCGUUGCCCGGAUUUAUUGGGCGUAAAGGGCUCGUAGGUGGUUGAUCGCGUCGGAAGUGUAAUCUUGGGGCUUAACCCUGAGCGUGCUUUCGAUACGGGUUGACUUGAGGAAGGUAGGGGAGAAUGGAAUUCCUGGUGGAGCGGUGGAAUGCGCAGAUAUCAGGAGGAACACCAGUGGCGAAGGCGGUUCUCUGGGCCUUUUCCUGACGCUGAGGAGCGAAAGCGUGGGGAGCGAACAGGCUUAGAUACCCUGGUAGUCCACGCUGUAAACGGUGGGUACUAGGUGUGGGGUCCAUUCCACGGGUUCCGUGCCGUAGCUAACGCUUUAAGUACCCCGCCUGGGGAGUACGGCCGCAAGGCUAAAACUCAAAGGAAUUGACGGGGCCCCGCACAAGCGGCGGAGCAUGCGGAUUAAUUCGAUGCAACGCGUAGAACCUUACCUGGGUUUGACAUGGAUCGGGAGUGCUCAGAGAUGGGUGUGCCUCUUUUGGGGUCGGUUCACAGGUGGUGCAUGGCUGUCGUCAGCUCGUGUCGUGAGAUGUUGGGUUAAGUCCCGCAACGAGCGCAACCCUUGUUCACUGUUGCCAGCACGUUAUGGUGGGGACUCAGUGGAGACCGCCGGGGUCAACUCGGAGGAAGGUGGGGAUGACGUCAAGUCAUCAUGCCCCUUAUGUCCAGGGCUUCACGCAUGCUACAAUGGCUGGUACAGAGAGUGGCGAGCCUGUGAGGGUGAGCGAAUCUCGGAAAGCCGGUCUCAGUUCGGAUUGGGGUCUGCAACUCGACCUCAUGAAGUCGGAGUCGUUAGUAAUCGCAGAUCAGCAACGCUGCGGUGAAUACGUUCCCGGGGCUUGUACACACCGCCCGUCAAGUCAUGAAAGUUGGUAACACCCGAAGCCGGUGGCCUAACCGUUGUGGGGGAGCCGUCGAAGGUGGGACUGG